GAGUGUAUUGCUCCUGCUGUCCUGCAGGUGUCCCGAGCGUUUAUACUAGAAAGCAUUUCCAUUUCAGCUAAGGAUGAGCUCAUGUCCCAGCCUGCUGAAGUUGUAAUGUUACCAAGAGCAAAGGAAAUGGUACAACAGCCUCAUUGGGAAUCACAGAAAGAAGUGAUUUCCACUGCUCAGAUCUGCUUUGGGACCCGUCGAGUGUGAGCCUGAGGCUGUGCACGAAGGGAAGCGCAAAGGAGAGCAGCAACCAUGUGGCGGCUGACAGCUCUCAUCCUGGAAGUUGCUUUUUUCUGUGGCUCUGCACAAGCCCUCUGGCAAAGUCCAGCGUCCAUCACCAAGCCUGAAAGAAAAACGGUGCUCAUCACCUGCCAUGUCUCCAUCUCCAACUUUGACAAAGUCUUCAUUCACUGGUACCGCAAGAGGCCUGGGACAGCUCCCAAGCGCAUUGCCUACAUGGCAACCAGACUGUUCCUUGAGAAUGAGUCCGAUGAGGGGAAAUUCAGCAUCGAGAAGGACAUCGCCAAAUCUGAGUGCACCCUGACAGUGGGCAGAGUUACUGCACAAGAUGCUGCUACCUACUACUGUGCCAGAUGGGAUGCACAGCAGCAGAGAGCCAUAGGGAACCUGCACAAAGACAUGACCUGCUUCCGGAACCAGACCCUAGAAUGCUAGGAAACUUGUGGGAAUGGCCUCACCUAUUUCCUCUCCAUCUUUAUUCAGAGCAAAAACAAUGUGGGCUUUAAAAUGUUUGCGUUUCUUGUACUGUUUGCCCCAGACUGCACGGUCCCUCU